rnacentral:rRNA from 1 species
GAGUGGCGGACGGGUGAGUAACACGUGGGUAACCUGCCCAGAAGCAGGGGAUAACACCUGGAAACAGAUGCUAAUACCGUAUAACAGAGAAAACCGCCUGGUUUUCUUUUAAAAGAUGGCUCUGCUAUCACUUCUGGAUGGACCCGCGGCGCAUUAGCUAGUUGGUGAGGUAACGGCUCACCAAGGCGAUGAUGCGUAGCCGACCUGAGAGGGUAAUCGGCCACAUUGGGACUGAGACACGGCCCAGACUCCUACGGGAGGCAGCAGUAGGGAAUCUUCCACAAUGGACGCAAGUCUGAUGGAGCAACGCCGCGUGAGUGAAGAAGGGUUUCGGCUCGUAAAGCUCUGUUGUUAAAGAAGAACGUGGGUGAGAGUAACUGUUCACCCAGUGACGGUAUUUAACCAGAAAGCCACGGCUAACUACGUGCCAGCAGCCGCGGUAAUACGUAGGUGGCAAGCGUUAUCCGGAUUUAUUGGGCGUAAAGCGAGCGCAGGCGGUCUUUUAAGUCUAAUGUGAAAGCCUUCGGCUCAACCGAAGAAGUGCAUUGGAAACUGGGAGACUUGAGUGCAGAAGAGGAUAGUGGAACUCCAUGUGUAGCGGUGAAAUGCGUAGAUAUAUGGAAGAACACCAGUGGCGAAGGCGGCUGUCUGGUCUGUAACUGACGCUGAGGCUCGAAAGCAUGGGUAGCGAACAGGAUUAGAUACCCUGGUAGUCCAUGCCGUAAACGAUGAUUACUAAGUGUUGGAGGGUUUCCGCCCUUCAGUGCUGCAGCUAACGCAUUAAGUAAUCCGCCUGGGGAGUACGACCGCAAGGUUGAAACUCAAAAGAAUUGACGGGGGCCCGCACAAGCGGUGGAGCAUGUGGUUUAAUUCGAAGCUACGCGAAGAACCUUACCAGGUCUUGACAUCUUCUGCCAACCUAAGAGAUUAGGCGUUCCCUUCGGGGACAGAAUGACAGGUGGUGCAUGGUUGUCGUCAGCUCGUGUCGUGAGAUGUUGGGUUAAGUCCCGCAACGAGCGCAACCCUUAUUACUAGUUGCCAGCAUUCAGUUGGGCACUCUAGUGAGACUGCCGGUGACAAACCGGAGGAAGGUGGGGACGACGUCAAAUCAUCAUGCCCCUUAUGACCUGGGCUACACACGUGCUACAAUGGAUGGUACAACGAGUUGCGAAACCGCGAGGUUUAGCUAAUCUCUUAAAACCAUUCUCAGUUCGGACUGUAGGCUGCAACUCGCCUACACGAAGUCGGAAUCGCUAGUAAUCGCGGAUCAGCAUGCCGCGGUGAAUACGUUCCCGGGCCUUGUACACACCGCCCGUCACACCAUGAGAGUUUGUAACACCCAAAGCCGGUGGGGUAACCUU